GACGAACGCUGGCGGCGUGCUUAACACAUGCAAGUCGAACGAAGUGGCGAACGGGUGAGUAACGCGUAAUCAACCUGCCCUUCUGAGGGGGACAACAGUUGGAAACGACUGCUAAUACCGCAUACUGAAGGAGGGGAUUGCGUCUGAUUAGAUAGUUGGCGGGGUAACGGCCCACCAAGGCGAUGAUCAGUAGCCUGUCUUAUAGGUUGAACGGCACCAGUGGAACUGAGACACGGCCCAGACUCAUACGGGAGGCAGCCGUGGGCAAUCUUCCACAAUGGACGAAGAUCUUACGGAGCAACGCCGCGUGAGUGAUGACGGCCUUCGGGUUGUAAAGCUCUGUUAAUCGGGACGCGGUACCGGAAUAGAAAGCCACGGCUAACUACGUGCCAGCAGCCGCGGUAAUAC
rnacentral:rRNA from 1 species